CCCGGCCCCCCGCGCCCUCCUCCGCGCGCGCACACUCGCCGCCCCCACCCCUGGUCUGGCUGGGAACUUGAACCGGUCCAGCCUGUUUAAACGGAAAGGACAGAGAUCCUGUCUGUUCAAUGUAAAAAAAAAAAAAAAGAAAAAAAAAGAAAAAAAGAAAAAAAAAUCAGAUCAGACCGAGGGAGAGAGGAGAGAGAGAGGGAGAGAGAGGGAGAGAGAGAGGAGAGAGAGGGAGGGAGGGAGAGAGAGAGGGGGGAGAGCGGAGAGAGAGCGCGAGCGCGAGCGAGCGAGAGAAGAGGAGAAAGAGAGAGAGCAGAGAGCGAGCGGAGAGCGAGGUGUAGAGAAACCGAGGGGGAGAGAACCCGAGUGUGUGUAUGCGUGUGCGUGUGUGAGCGCGAGCGAGCGAGCGAGAGGAGCGAGAGAGUGCGAGCGAGAAAGAAUAAAAGGAAAGAAGAUUUUCUCUAUGUAUAUAAAGAUGGCCACGUUAGCAAACGGACAGGCUGACAACGCAAGCCUCAGUACCAACGGGCUCGGCAGCAGCCCGGGCAGUGCCGGGCACAUGAACGGAUUAAGCCACAGCCCGGGGAACCCGUCGACCAUUCCCAUGAAGGACCACGAUGCCAUCAAGCUGUUCAUUGGGCAGAUCCCCCGCAACCUGGAUGAGAAGGACCUCAAGCCCCUCUUCGAGGAGUUUGGCAAAAUCUACGAGCUUACGGUUCUGAAGGACAGGUUCACAGGCAUGCACAAAGGCUGCGCCUUCCUCACCUACUGCGAGCGUGAGUCAGCGCUGAAGGCCCAGAGCGCGCUACACGAGCAGAAGACUCUGCCCGGGAUGAACCGGCCAAUCCAGGUGAAGCCUGCGGACAGCGAGAGCCGAGGAGGUAGUAGCUGCCUGCGCCAGCCCCCUUCACAAGAUAGAAAACUCUUCGUGGGCAUGCUCAACAAGCAACAGUCCGAGGACGACGUCCGCCGCCUCUUCGAGGCCUUCGGGAACAUCGAGGAGUGCACCAUCCUGCGCGGGCCCGACGGCAACAGCAAGGGGUGCGCCUUUGUGAAGUACUCCUCCCACGCCGAGGCGCAGGCAGCCAUCAACGCGCUACACGGCAGCCAGACCAUGCCGGGAGCCUCGUCCAGUCUGGUGGUCAAGUUCGCCGACACCGACAAGGAGCGCACGAUGCGGCGAAUGCAGCAGAUGGCUGGCCAGAUGGGCAUGUUCAACCCCAUGGCCAUCCCGUUCGGGGCCUACGGCGCCUACGCUCAGGCACUGAUGCAGCAGCAAGCGGCCCUGAUGGCAUCAGUCGCACAGGGCGGCUACCUGAACCCCAUGGCUGCCUUCGCUGCCGCCCAGAUGCAGCAGAUGGCGGCCCUCAACAUGAAUGGCCUGGCGGCCGCACCUAUGACCCCAACCUCAGGUGGCAGCACCCCUCCGGGCAUCACUGCACCAGCCGUGCCUAGCAUCCCGUCCCCCAUUGGGGUGAAUGGCUUCACCGGCCUCCCCCCACAGGCCAAUGGGCAACCUGCUGCAGAAGCUGUGUUCGCCAAUGGCAUCCACCCCUACCCAGCGCAGAGCCCCACCGCCGCGGACCCCCUGCAGCAGGCCUACGCCGGAGUGCAGCAGUAUGCAGGUCCAGCCGCCUACCCUGCUGCCUAUGGUCAGAUAAGCCAGGCCUUUCCUCAGCCGCCUCCAAUGAUCCCCCAGCAGCAGAGAGAAGGGCCCGAGGGCUGUAACCUGUUCAUCUACCAUCUGCCCCAGGAGUUUGGGGACGCUGAGCUGAUGCAGAUGUUCCUCCCUUUCGGCUUCGUGAGCUUCGACAACCCGGCCAGCGCGCAGACUGCCAUCCAGGCCAUGAACGGCUUCCAGAUCGGCAUGAAGAGGCUCAAGGUGCAGCUGAAGCGGCCCAAAGACGCCAAUCGCCCGUACUGAGCGCCGGCGGGAGCGUCCCCCGGGGGAGACCAGGACUCGCACAGGGCCAGUCAAAUCCACCACAGUCUCGCGCUGAGCUAGGAAUAAAGUUCACGUAAUCACAUGAGAGUGGAGAAAAGUCCCCCAUCCGGCAGGAUGCUGAACGGGCUACAUUAAAAAACAAACCUCUCUCUCUAUAUAUUUAUAAAUGAGAACUGUUGGAUGACACCUUUGACAUAUCAGCCAAUAUCAAUCAAGCUGAAGACUCCAGACACUGUCUGUGUGACUGUAACAUUUCUUCAAGGAAAGUAUAGCGUCUAUGGAGUUCAGAGGGCACGUGUUUGGGGGAAAAUAUAUAUAUGACAUAAGAAGAAGAUGAAGAAAAAUGAGAAAAAAAACACACACAAAAGGCAACUUUAAAACAAAAUAUCAUGAGACCAGACGGGGAGGCUGAAGGGCUGGGAACUGGGAGGAGACGCUGCUUACCGAUCCCGGGGCUUUUCCAGCCCAUGGGCGCCUGAGGCAGGCUGGGGCAAGUGGUGUGUGGGGCCUGGUCCCCAGGGGGCGGCUGGGAGGCCGCCACUGAGCAUCUCUAUCUGUCAUUCCUUUAGCUAUUUAGGGACCAAAGGACCAAACUUUUUAUUGCAGAUGUGUAGCUCUAUGUCAAAUAGAGGGGGAAUGGAGGACCCCCUCCUUCCUGCCUCAUGGCUGUUCUUGAAACAGCUUAGAGCGAUUCUAUGAAAAAAUGUAAUAAAAAAUUUAAAAAAAAACAAAAAACAACAAAAAAACAACAAAAAAAGGAAAUAUAACGCUUCAGUGCUUUUAAAACAGCAAGAUAAUAGUUCUUUGAUACUUUGAGAGGCGCUUUGAUGACCCUCAUCCAAGUCUAUGACACUUUCCUAUGGUUUUCUGUAUUCUAUGUCUGGAUGGAGCUGUUAAGGUGAACAAAUUGGUGGAUAUUUGGGGAAAGCAACACAAAUCUUAAAACUCAUUAACCGUGGAGUGUGAGAAAACAAAGAGGGGACAAACGGGACUUACCAAGCAAGGUCAUUGUUGUGAAAAGUCUGUAAAUGCUUCUAACUCUUCCCCCUCUUAAAAUCCUAAUAGUUGUACAGAAUUUUAAAAAGGAAAAGUUUAAAAUACCUAUAUAAUAGAAGAAAAAUUAGAGGAAAGCAAAAAAUAAAAAAUAAAAAAAAAAAAGAAAAAAAAAGCUAUAGAAGUUAGCAUUACUGCUAAAAUCCCAGAUGUUGUAGGACUGUACUUUUGUAGAGUUUAGACAGAGCAUCAACCCCUUCUCCCCGCGAGUGCUGUCGGACGCCGUUGUCCCCAAGGGCCAGGCCGAACUUGCCCCACACCUGCGGGCGCCUGGCUGCCUGUCGCCGGUGGAGGCCACGCCAUCGGCCGGGAACGGUCGCGUUGCCCGGGUCGUCGCCGCCGCCGUCGUCCUCGCCUCUUGCUUCCCUCCGGGAGCUGCGCGCGCUUCACUCACCUUCCGCUUCACUCGCCUUCCACGCUUGCUCCAGAGACUUUCCGGGCAAGGGAGAACUGGGAACUUUCAUCUUAAAACGACUAGACAACACACACACACACAAAACCUUAAAAAAGAGAGAGAAAAAUAAACAAUCUUUGAAGAAUUUCUGAAACUGUUUACAAGGAAUUUUGAAAAACAGGGAUGUUUAAAUGAUGCCGGCUCUGUUUUUCUGUAAAUAAAUUUGCAUAUUUUGUAGGACUUUUAAUUGUAAUGAUAGAGAAAAAAACAAGGAAAACUAUUUAAUGAAAGCACGAUAUUUAUCUUUGGUAAAUGACUUUAGAGCAGUUAAAGACAUUGCUUAAAAAACUCAGAAUCAGAAAAACACUGAAUUAUUUAAGAACACAUAUAUUUUAAAGUAUAACAUAUUUAUUAUAAUUUAUUUGCACCCUUGGGAAGAUUGCUUUGGCAUUCUGCCUCGAUUCCUUCACAUUGAUGUCCAGAUCAUCUGGAGGCCGGGGGUUCUCAGACCUACCAUUGUUUCCCUUUAGAAGAACAAAUUUCCAGUUCCUCUAGGGCCUCCUGCCUUUCCUUUCUUUCUGUCAAUUUUGUUGUUGUUGUUGUUUUUCAUUUUCUUUUUUUCUCUUGACUCCUCCUUUUAGGAUGUCCAGAUGUAAAAAAAAAACAAAAAACAAAAAA